rnacentral:rRNA from 1 species
AGAGUUUGAUUCUGGCUCAGGAUGAACGCUGGCGGCGUGCCUAACACAUGCAAGUCGAACGAAGCAUACACCACGGAAGCCUCCGGGCGGAAGAGGGGUAUGACUGAGUGGCGGACGGGUGAGUAACGCGUGGGCAACCUGCCCUGUACUGGGGGAUAACACCCAGAAAUGGGUGCUAAUACCGCAUAAGCGCACAGUGCCGCAUGGCACGGUGUGAAAAACUCCGGUGGUACAGGAUGGGCCCGCGUCUGAUUAGCUAGUUGGCAGGGUAACGGCCUACCAAGGCAGCGAUCAGUAGCCGGCUUGAGAGAGUGACCGGCCACAUUGGGACUGAGACACGGCCCAAACUCCUACGGGAGGCAGCAGUGGGGAAUAUUGCACAAUGGGGGAAACCCUGAUGCAGCGACGCCGCGUGAGUGAAGAAGUAUUUCGGUAUGUAAAGCUCUAUCAGCAGGGAAGAAGAUGACGGUACCUGACUAAGAAGCCCCGGCUAACUACGUGCCAGCAGCCGCGGUAAUACGUAGGGGGCAAGCGUUAUCCAGAUUUACUGGGUGUAAAGGG